GCGAAUUGCUACGAUAUCGUUAUAAUGCCCGACCUUGUUCCUGUUACUGUUGCAAAAUUACUGCGUAACAGGUGACAAAUCGGUGACAUCGGGUUAUUUUCU
rnacentral:sRNA from 1 species